AUUGAACGCUGGCGGCAGGCCUAACACAUGCAAGUCGAACGAGUGGCGGACGGGUGAGUAAUGUCUGGGAAACUGCCUGAUGGAGGGGGAUAACUACUGGAAACGGUAGCUAAUACCGCAUACCAUCAGAUGUGCCCAUAUGGGAUUAGCGAGUUGGUGGGAUAACGGCUCACCAAGGCGACGAUCCCUAGCGUGUCUGAGAGGAUGACCAGCCACACUGGAACGGAGACACGGUCCAGACUCCGACGGGAGGCAGCAGUGGGGAAUAUUGCACAAUGGGUGCAAGCCUGAUGCAGCCAUGCCGCGUGUAUGAAGAAGGCCUUCGGGUGGUAAAGUACGUUCAGCGGGGAGGCGUUACCCGCAGAAGAAGCACCGGCUAACUCCGUGCCAGCAGCCGCGGUAAUAC
rnacentral:rRNA from 1 species